rnacentral:rRNA from 1 species
CACGUAGGGAGCAAGCGUUGUCCGGAUUUAUUGGGCGUAAAGAGCUCGUAGGCGGCUCAGUAAGUCAGGUGUGAAACCUCCAGGCUCAACCUGGAGACGCCACCUGAUACUGCUGUGGCUAGAGUCCGGUAGGGGAGCGUGGAAUUCCUGGUGUAGCGGUGAAAUGCGCAGAUAUCUGGAGGAAUACCGGUGGCGAAGGCGGCAUCCUGGACCGACAUUGACGCUGAGGAGCGAAAGCAUGGGGAGCGAACAGG